AGCGGUUUAUUUUAUAAUAAAAUACCAUCUUGCAAAGAUGGAGUAGCCUAUAGGUUGCCGCUU
rnacentral:tRNA from 1 species